AGUGAACGCUGGCGGUAGGCCUAACACAUGCAAGUCGAACGGCAGCACAGUAAGAGCUUGCUCUUACGGGUGGCGAGUGGCGGACGGGUGAGGAAUACAUCGGAAUCUACUUUUUCGUGGGGGAUAACGUAGGGAAACUUACGCUAAUACCGCAUAUGACCUACGGGUGAAAGCAGGGGAUCUUCGGACCUUGCGCGAUUGAAUGAGCCGAUGUCGGAUUAGCUAGUUGGCGGGGUAAAGGCCCACCAAGGCGACGAUCCGUAGCUGGUCUGAGAGGAUGAUCAGCCACACUGGAACUGAGACACGGUCCAGACUCCUACGGGAGGCAGCAGUGGGGAAUAUUGGACAAUGGGCGCAAGCCUGAUCCAGCCGUACCGCGUGGGUGAAGAAGGCCUUCGGGUUGUAAAGCCCUUUUGUUGGGAAAGAAAAGCAGCAGGUUAAUACCCCGCUGUUCUGACGGUACCCAAAGAAUAAGCACCGGCUAACUUCGUG
rnacentral:rRNA from 1 species